ensembl:lncRNA
GGGAGGCCCAAGCAGCGAGCACAUGCCAUAACCUGCUGGAGGGGCAGGUCCUGGCUCCACACUUCACACGUGAGAUAAAAUGUAAGCUCAUACCAACCUCUGAGCACAAGCAAACGGAUGCAGCGCAUCAGCCAGGUGGGUACUCCUAUACUAAUUACUGUGUUUGCGUAUCAGCUUAUGUUCUUUGUGUCACACUAUAAGAACUUAGGAAAUGUGUGCCACUGUGGUUGGAGGUGGUUGUCUCUCAGCGAAGAUGUGAGAACCCUAUGGGCAUGUAUGGCAAAUGCAAAAUGAAAUGGGUUAGUUCCUUUCACGUCUGAAAGUCAUCUUGCUUUGCAGUUCAAGAGACUGAGAGCUUACAUGCGGCCAGUGACUCUGUCCCAGCUAAAAUAUACUUCUCUGCUGAGAAGUGGUAACAUUUCCAGCCAUUCUAAUGUGGUUAUAAGGAUAAGUCUGGUCAUGCCCUCAUAUGUCUCUCUUUGCUUUAUCUGGUUAAGGCAGUGCCCCUUUCAGAAUGAAGGCAAGCAAUGUGACAUUUCAGGUACUACAGCAAUCUUAAUUGCAAGUCAUUCUAGUAGCGGAGGUGACUAAUGUAAUAAAUACGCACACAUGCAUCGAUACAGACAGCACUCAUUGCAAAAAUGACUGCCAGUCAUUUCUCUAACCAGAAUGUACUAUGAUGUGUACUCUGCUGUUGAAGUUUUAGUGGUGCUUCUGAAUGCCAUACAGCUGGGCCCCACUCUUAAAAAUAGCAGCGAGAUAUGAAUAAGUGCUGUUUGGUUCAGCAGGAAAGAAGAAAACAUCACCUCAGUAGGAACAGAUGAGUCUGGUUAGGUUUUAUGUCUCUUGCUGAAAAACUGCAAAGGAAUAGCUGUAUUUCACAGUGAAAAUUGCAUUUAAUUGAAAGCAAAACAUUCAAGCACCCAAAAGAGAAGUGAGAAGAAGGGAUCCCACUCACAGGGGGAUAGUGGAGCUGAGAGGCUGUCCCUCUAGUCUGGUGGCCAACGGGGCACAGUCCUGUGAGGUUCUGGGGAAGGAGUGGGCUCAAUGAGUGAAAGAUGCUAACACGACCCAGACACUCUGCAACAUUAAACACUUAAAAAGGUUUGGGGUUUUGAAUACAGAGACCUCAGCCUACUUGGUUACCAUGGCAAACAAUCACCAAUAGAAGUCUUUUAAUCUUUAAUUAAAGAUACACAAAAAAGGAGAAAAAACAGUUUAAGCACUUGAAAAAUAAGACUUUAUGCUUUAAAAGUGUCCAUUAUCCCUCUUCCCUUAGCUGUCAACAGUUUUUGUAGCAGUGCUUCCCUCCCUUUAUUUAAGGUCAUAGCAGCACUCACUGUUUUUUGGGAGACACUCAUUGAGAUAGACUGGAUCUGCUGUUAGUACUCAUUUUGGGAUUCUGCUUUGCUCAUUUGAAGACACAGGCAUGCAGGAGGGGAGAGGAAAGGAGAGCAAAGACAAAAAUUAUUACUUCCUCUUCAGGUGUUGACUUUUACUUGCAGCCUCACUGCUAGAAAAAGACAAGCACAACACAUGGACUUAUCAGCCCCUCUCUGAUCAAGGGGAUUUAUAUCAGCGUCUGUCUCAUUUAGACAUUGCUUUUGGUUGUCUCCUUGAUUGCAGUUCACAGCUGUGUUGUACAACCCGUACCCUCCUAUCUAGGAUAGUUUGAUUAAAAGGAAGGUAAAAGAAAGAAAAGGCAGAGAAGCAUGUGAAAAGACUGCAAAGCUACUGAGAGAAGGGUGGCUUCAGGACCCCAAGUCUUCCCUUCCAAGUGGGUUUCCAGGACUGCACUGAAAUUGGUGGACAUAGCGAUGACUCCCAUGUAUCUCCUCACCAGAAACUCACCAGAAGGUCUGACCAGAUCAAGUAAGUGUAGAAUCAUAGAAUCACAAAGGUUGAAAAACACCCACAGGAUCAUCCAGUCCAACCAUUCACCUGUCACCAGUGGUUCUCACUAAACCAUGUCCUUCAACACAACGUCCAAAUGUUCCUUGAAAUACCAACAGUGUCACAGCAGAGACUUAGAUCUCGAAGUUGACAACGACAGCUGUCAGCAUUUCUCCUUUCUGUCCACCUAUUCUAGGAUCAGUAUCAAAAUGGAUGUACCCCAGAGGAUGAUGUACAUGCCACCAGUCACCAGUUGGCUUUAGCUCCUGGCACAUGAGUUUUGGUCCAUUGAUUUUGGCAUUUAUCUUGUACAUCAGGCCUGAUGUCAGCACAGUCCUUGGUUAAUAUUAGGAAGACUUUCUGAUUGAACUAAUUUGGUCUUCCCAUCUUUAACUUGUGCUGACUUCUCCAAGUAAUUUUCUCCAGCAGACUGAGCUGCACUUUCUCACCUCUGUGAACUUUAGCACAUGCGUUUGCCUGAUGUGCUCGCGUAGGAUGUUCAAUGCCCUCUUCUGCUUCCCUGUCUACCCUUCUUCUUUUCCAGGAGAAUACCACAGUCACAAGAGCAGGGGUACCCUGGGAGAGGCUCUGCCAAUGGCACUUUCAUAUUCCUUAGUAGCGCAGUACUCAUUAGCACAGACUGGGGAAGCCAGGUGAAUUGUGUCCAUGAGUGUCUCUACUGGGGUCUGGAAAGACCUUCCGCACAGAUCAGGACACAUAAGUGGUGAGGAGUAAGAACAACCCACCUUAGUAUGCAGCACAGCACAACCUUAUGGCAUUCUCUUGGGAGAUAAGUGAUGCUGGUUCUAGUUCCCCCAGGCAGAGGAGGAAAUUAAACCCAGGACUCCCACAUCCUUUAUGAGCGAAUAAAAAGUGGCUGUCUUCCUCUCAGCUUUGUGAAUAUAAUCGUGAUAUUUUCUUCCGGGGAAUCAAUUUGGUAAGUCCACGCUGAAUUCAACAAUCAUUUUGGGACAAUGGAAAAAAAAGCAAACAUUUUUCAAUGAGAAGGAUGCUGGCUAAAAAAACAUUCUAUUGACUGUAGUGGCAGUACAACAACCAGACAGACCCCAUCACUCUGCCACUUUAUAUCCAGCAGCUGUAGGACAGGAAACUCUCAUACUUGCAGACAGCGGAGGAACUUACCUGGCAAUGUGAAAUCUUGCUAGGAAAAAAGGGUUGUGCGGGAGUAAUGAAAUCCUCUGGGAAUGGCAGAUGAAACCUGAACACCGGUGGGACUGCCUUGAGUUCUGACACAAUUACCACAGUGCAUAAGAAAAACCUGCAAAGAACAGGCUCACUCCGAGGGCUGAGAUGUGACCAGUGUCCCAGUUAUUAUUAGCUACUAAAGGUCUGAAAAGGUUCAAACUCCAUCUUUGUAGGAAUUCAAACAGAGGGAUGCAUGAGGCCUUGCUGACGGCUUCCAGACUGAAAAAGAAAGCGGAGGGAAAAGGGGCAUUUCUCUGACCUUCCUCGGUGAUUGCUCAGAACUGUGUCUACUGAUGGCCGUGUCCAACACCGACAAGAAGAGGCAAGAGAAGUCAAAAUCUGAGGAGUGAGAUGUUCUGCUAGCACAGAAAAGCCACCUGGAGAAACAAAAACAAAUGUCACACAGCUGCGAGUGGGAGAAAUGCUAUUGUUUUCCUGGUAGCCCGUCCUUCCAGUCUUCUGAGAGAAGCGGGGGAAGGAGGAUUUGACCCUCACUGAGUGAAGGAGUUGCUGAUUUAGUCAAGUCAAGAACAGGAUGCGACGCUUUGGUCUAGUGCAUUGACAUUUGCAUCUCUGAGUGAGAAUGCUUAUUUUCAUUGGAGGAACAGCAAGACUGCCUUUUGAAACAUUUAAAGAGAGUCGGAAACUGUGUAGCUGUGAGGCCUUGAUUGGAGGGAGCAAGUCCACUGAAGUGUGCUCUUCCUACAACAACUUGACUGCUGGAGAGUGGGCACAGAAGAGUUUGAGUCUACAGCAAUUACUUGUGUGAGUAAUCCCUGAGUAAUUCCGAGAGGAUUUACCUGUCUGACUAAGGGCCCUCAGAAUAUCACCAAACCCUUCGAUAUAUACUCUGAAAACAUAUUUGGCCCAUUGCUUCCUCAAGGACUUUCAAGGGCACAAGAGGAGGUUUACCUUAAUUAACAUCCCUUCAACAUUGUAGACAAUGGGUUCAUCUCUUGGCUAUACAACAGAGGAAUGUUGAAAACAAUAUCUGUUCAUCGUGAAAUCAUGUUCUCCCAGCUACCUGCUACAGAGGUGAAAGCAGGCACUGUCAAAUACCACUGAAGAAAUUUAAUCUUUCCCUGCUAGCAAAUUCUGAAAAGGCAAAUAACAUUUUCAUAGUUUGUUUACUCAUUUGUUCCUUAAAAGAGGCAAAGGAAUCUGUGAAUCAGAAGAAUUUCCAUCUCAAAAAUUGCUUUGGCAACCAGUGGCUUGUAAUUUAAGAUUAAGUGAUUGAAUUUCAUGCAGCCUUGCUUAAAAUUCACUACUCCACAUGCUGUCACCACACAUUUUUUAAAAAAAAUCUAACAAGAAACCCCAAACAUCUAUAACGUUACUACAAGUCAGUCAAAAAAUGUCCAAUCAUCUGGGAGGUGACAAAACGUGCUUAAUGAAGAUGUAGUCUGCAUGACUGCUGGAUUUUUCCCCUUGUAGCGUUCACAGCCUAUCAGAGAGUUCCCAUUCCCAUGCAGUGCUGGUGCUGGGCUCACUUCAAUCAGGCUGCACAAAUCAGUGGAGCAGAAAUGCCUCUUUCCCUCCAUCACCUGAAGCCAAUGCUGAUUCAUCCGUUCAGACCCAUUCCUUCUGCCACUCCUCUGAGUUUACUGAUUGCUGAUUCAUUUUUCCCCCUCCUUUUUUUCCCCCACCUCGUACUAAGCAUCCCGUGUUGAGUUCAACACACUUCGUUUCCAGGUCUGACUGAAAGGGAAUAUGGAAAUUAAUUGGCUCAGACUGCUAGCAGCCUUUUGCACGUGCCUGUACUCCGUGAGAGGUGCAGUGCAAUUGCCUUUCCACUGUAGCUCCUUAUCAGCCACCUGUCUCCUUGCGUGUGUUUCCUUGGCUGCUCUCAGUCUGGGUGCUGGAGAUGGAUGUCCCCUUCCUCUCCCUGUUCUGCAAAAGGGAGGGCAGCUGGCAGGGCUGUCCUUGUGAGGGCUGAAGCUGUCCUCGUUUGACUUAAAAUAGGACAGAUUUAGUGAAUUCUCCAGCUUGUGGUAAAUAGCGUGUGACUGGUGCUUUGGUGAGGGCUGCAGAGAUGCUGUACAGCACAGUGGAACUUCUGCUGAAAUGUUUAUUUGUUGUCUCUGCUGGACGCAGGUCCUGGCUGAAAGAAAGCAGCUGAGGUAUGUCCCUUGGCCAUGAGAGGAGGGUACCAGGAUCCUUGCAAGUUGGAAUACAAUCUGGCUCUGCAGCUACGCUCCAUCUCAAACAUUUUCAUGCCUAGGUUUCUAUCUUCCAUUGGUUUCAUACUGAAUUUUCUCAUGGAGCUUCCUCCCGACUGCAGAGAAUUUGGGUUUCCCUGGUGAAGUCUCCCUGUGUCUUUGAUGCUGGAGUGCUGUUGCUAGCAUUGCAGAAGUCCCACUGUCCCAUGCAGAGCACUGUACAGGUAUUUUUUUGAGGAGCUGCCCCACAUUCCUGUGGAGCUUUUCCAUCUCUGUGAAAAAAAGCUGGGGAGAAGGGAGGCCUUAUCUCCAUGUUGUGCAUGGGUGAGGUCCGAAAAAGGGCUAGGCGGGACAGAGAGGCCAGGAGCACAUAUAUAGGAGGGGACAGGAGUGGAGGCCCACAGCUUGGAGACACACAACCGCCGGAGGGCUCUGGGAGUGCCCCAGCACUUGCUAGGGGGCAGCGGGCUCCUUUGAAGAGUGAGUGGUGCAAGACCCAGCCUGACUCAGUCACCCUUGGCAUCAUCCCUUGCAUCCUCAUUUCUGCAGGCUGAUGGUGUGUGCCUUGCUAGGGCCCUGGGCUUCUACUCAUUCAUGUUUGUAGGAACCCGGAGGAUGACUCAGAUUAUUACAGCACUGUAGAUCUGAUGCUGUCUGUGAUGUCUCUGGCAUGAUGCCCAUCUUUCCCUUCUGUGUUUGAACAAUCUCUUGCUCAAGGAGCCCUGGCCUGAUAGAAGGACUACCUCCUAUUAUUAACACAGUAGCAAGAAAUGAAAGGGCAGGCACAUUUGUAUGUGGUAUAAUUUAUGCAGAAGACAUGAUCUCAGGCACAGUGGAUGACAAAACCAAACGAGAAACUUUUCUUCUAGUUUUAUCACAGUUUCUCCCAGAACCUCUGCUGUAUGCAUUCUGGAAAUUUACAGGAUGAAGGAUUUUGUCAUGAUAUCUAGUUCUAAUCUGAAGUGAUUUACUGUUAAGUUGAAAAUCAAGCCUGUACGUAUCCCCCUCCAAGUGGUUUCUAUGACAGUUUCUAUUAACCAUAAAAAUGUCACUUGCUAGGAAGUAUCAGCCUUCUUGUAGGCUUUGCAAUCAUUGCUACCAGAUGCACACUUACUGAAUGGAAUAAAUAUUCUUGUACAAUUAGCCUGGCAUGCAGGACAUGUCUGGCUAUCUCUCUUGCCUCCAAAGUGAAGUUUUCAAAAGCAAACCCGUAUAUCAAGAGAUGAGAUCUAUCUGGAUUUUCUGAAGUUCUUCAGAUCUUGCAGUGUUAUGAUGCUUUAUGGAUAAAGCAUGGUGGUGUGUAAACUUAGGCUAAGUUUUCUUCAUUUUAAUCUGUAUAAGCAACUGAAAUAUUCAUUUUUCAUUGUUUUGAUCAAGUGGAAAAAAAUAUUUGAUGUCUAUUCUGUGAUUUAAAAUGUAUUUUGAAAUACACUAAUGGCUCUGUGGCAUUUCCUGCUGUUGCACAAUCACGGUGAAGCUGGUACUGUCUGGAUGCGCCAUACACACUUUGCCCCUACCUACCCGUUAAGGAAAUGACACACAAAGCCUUCCUUAAGACUGGGGGGUGGUGAUGACUUCUUCCAUAUGUGGGAUGUGUUAGCAGUGUUGAGACACUGAUUUGAGCUAACCUUGUCUUCAGGUAUGAGCUGAAAUGGGAGUCUGGGUUUGCGUAAUGCGCUGUCAGGGAUCUUAUCCAUUACACUCAAGGUUUUGGUGAGGAACUCAAGAAAUCAGCCUGAAUAAUGGAAAAGGCAUUUGAUCGGCUGCUCUCAUGAUGUGUCUGCCAUUGAAACCACACUCUGGAGAGGAGUCAGAGGCUGGACCUCCACUGCUGUGUUUGAAUCUGAAGAUGGAAAUGGAGGGUGCUGCAGAGCUGAGCUGGUGGACUCGGACUGUGAGAGAUACAUUACCCUUGCAGCAGAGGAAGCAUUGUGGCAGAAGAAGCAAGAGGCCCUGUCACCUUCAUCUGCUUACAGGAUAAGGUCACAUUCUGCUCUUUUUUUGCACCAGUCUAACCACUGAAGACACUGGAUGUGGGCUUGUGUGUGUUGGGGAAAAUACUACUGUGCUGCAGUUUGCAGCUGGCGCAACGAAUGGAGAUAAAAGCAAAUUCUACAGAGCAUCUGGCUCACUUGGUGAAGUGAGCUUAGAGCCUGGAUGCUUCUGAUACAGCAAGGUGGAAAGUAAAGAACCUAGUCCCAUUUCCAGAGUAGGGAGAGGUUUUGAAAGUAGCAGCUCUGAGGAGGCACACGGACUGUGGCUUCAAAAAGGGCUGUAACUAUGCACGAGCUCCAAUAGUUAUUCUGGUGUGAAUGAGAGCAGAUGAACUCCUGCAUCCGCUCAUAAUGUGAGCAGAGCCAUGCCAUCAGUGCAGGAAGCUGUAUGUGGGCGCAAGUGCGAGUUGAUGUGCUGCUCUAGGCAGUGCUCAUGGGAGGAGAUAAGGUAGACAGCAGAAGGGUUUAGCUCCUUCUCUGCUCUUUGUCUGCUUUGCAAAGGCUAUUGCGAAAGCAGAAGGAGUUUAAAAAUGUCUGGAAUAAUGAUUUGCAAUCUGUCAAACCUGCUCUGUAAGGAGAAGCUGAAGAAACUCAUUCUAUGAAGCUUAAGAAAAGAAAUAUCUUAAAGUAUGACUUGACUUCAGCACAGGCAGGGGGAACGUAUUUCUGAGACUAGUGGGCCCUUUGUCUUUUAUCCAUCACAUACGUAUGAAUUCCAGAGCUAAAAGCUUCUGUGCACCCCUCACCCGUGGAAUUCAGAAAUAAAAGUUGCAAAACAGAAUAUUAUACCAUUCCAAAUACUGUUGUUGGAAGGAAAAGCGCAUGUGGUCUGCUUGUACCUGCAGAAUCCGUGAUGAAGACCGAAAGUUUUCCUCUUCUGGAAACACUGUUCACUGUUUUUUCACAUGAUAGAAUUGGCUUGAAGUGAUUCCACUGUCCCUCAAAGUCUUGUGAAAACAGAAAGCAUACUAUACUAGCAUGAGAAAAGACGAUGCUCACAGAUCUCUAAGAAGCAAAAAAGCAACAGAUAUUCUCUGUGGGAUGAGCUGCUUUUUCACUGCAGCAUUAACACAUGCACUUUGGAGACUCUCAUCUUGGCCAGCAGCUGAGCAUGCUCUUGCAUUAUAUCCAAUGGCUCAGGAGCAAAAGCACUGGCUUUUAUUCAGCACCGUGUUGCUCCAAAAUCAAUGCCAGCUAAGCAUUUUCACUGCUAACAAACUGAACAUCUUCAUGGAUAUUAUUUGGAAUAAAAUGGGAUAGGUGGCACUGGAGGGCUCUGAUGGCCAUGAAUUCUCCAAGCUGUGAGCCCUUCUUUCCUGACAGUCAGAUGAUAGAGAGGACAAAAGUAAUUUUUGCAUGUUUUCAUCCCUGCCAUCUUUCAUGUGGCUCUUAAAUGGCUGAAUGUCAGCAGAAAAACAAUGACUUAGCAAGGACUUUGUGUGGAUAGAUCUAAAGAGCGGGAUUUGCAGGCCACACUGAAAUAAUGUAUUGCAUUUUCAAAUCUUAGUUCAGUGAAAGCUUGGAAAUUAACUGGGCCGGUUGGUAAGUGGCCUUUUCCGUAUUUCAGAGUGAUAGCAGAUACACACAUGCACGCUGUGUGCAAAGGCCCUUGCUGAAAAAUGUAAGGUUGAGCUAAUAUGCCUGACAGGUGCCAGACUGGUAUAGAUGGGAAGUAAAGACUCUCAUCUUCUUCUCAGGAAGAGCGGGGAGGCAGUGGCACAGGCUGCCCAGGGAGGUGGUGGAGUCACCGUCCCUGUAGGUGUUCCAGAGCCGUGUGGAUGUGGCACUGAGGGACGUGGGCAGUGGGCAUGGUGUGAUGGGCUGACAUGGGACUAAGUGAUCUUAGAAGCCCUUUCCAACCUUAAUAGUUCUGUGAUUCUAUGAUCUGCAGAACAGGAAUGAUGAAGGCCGUGGCAGCGUGAACUUCCCUGUGUAGUGCAGAAUGCAGUGAUCAAGUUUUGACACUUGCCUCUGUGAGGAGAGAAGUGAACACCCACAAACAAUGGGCUGGUCCCAGCUCACCUCCGACUGAAGUUUGUCAUUAUCAUGUAUUAGAUUCCCCCAUAGCAAAUACAGGAUUGGAACUGUAAUAAAGUAUUGAAAUUGCAGUAGAGGCUAUACAUGACUUUAAACUGUGUCAUAAAAUAUGUUUUAGGUGGCUAUAACAAUAAAAACGUUUGGAAGCCAGGGCAGCUCCAGAUUUCAUCAUUUGCCAAAAAAAUCCUGAGCAACCCAAGCCCUCUCACUCUCCGCUUCUUAAACAAAAACGUG